AUUGAACGCUGGCGGCAUGCUUUACACAUGCAAGUCGAACGGGGUGAGGGGGCAACCUCUCAUUCAGUGGCGAACGGGUGAGUAAUACAUCGGAACGUACCCCGCAGUGGGGGAUAACUCGGCGAAAGCUGUGCUAAUACCGCAUACGAUCUCUGGAUGAAAGCGGGGGACCUGCAAGGGCCUCGCGCGAUUGGAGCGGCCGAUAUCAGAUUAGCAGUUGGUGGGGUAAAAGCCCACCAAGGCGACGAUCUGUAGCUGGUCUGAGAGGACGACCAGCCACACUGGAACUGAGACACGGUCCAGACUCCUACGGGAGGCAGCAGUGGGGAAUUUUGGACAAUGGGCGCAAGCCUGAUCCAGCAAUGCCG
rnacentral:rRNA from 1 species